rnacentral:lncRNA from 1 species
ACAGUCUGGUGAUGAACCCAAUUAGAGUACUAAGCUACUAAGAAAGAUUCUAUAUAUACAUCAUAUAUUUUAUACUUAAAACAUAUCUUUAAGACAUGCGAGGGUUUGGAUGUUCAAUCGGGUUAAACCCUGGAGCCGACUUGAACCAAAUCAAAAAUCCAUGCUUGAUCACAAUCAAGAUGAUAUUUUAAUCUUUGAUUAUAUAGAUCAAGGUAGGCUCUGAUACUACUAUUGAAUUUUGAUGGCACAGUGGAAGUAUUAGAUUUUUAAUAUUUUCAUUAAAAAUACC